AAGAAAUUAUUUUAAAUAAAAUAUAAAUCUGUCGGAUUUAAGUUACUGUAAGGUAUUUCUUU
rnacentral:tRNA from 1 species